rnacentral:rRNA from 1 species
UACGUAGGGGCCAAGCGUUGUCCGGAUUUAUUGGGCGUAAAGAGCUCGUAGGUGGUUCGGCAAGUCAGUUGUGAAAUCUCCGCGCUCAACGCGGAGGGGGCAGCUGAAACUGCUGUGACUUGAGUCUGGUAGGGGAGUGUGGAAUUCCCGGUGUAGCGGUGAAAUGCGCAGAUAUCGGGAGGAACACCAGUGGCGAAGGCGGCACUCUGGGCCAGUACUGACACUGAGGAGCGAAAGCGUGGGGAGCGAACAGG